ACACAAUGCAAAUCUGUGUCACAUUAAACCGUGCCGUGUCCGAGUCUUCCGAGCCUCGUCCGUGUUACGUUUCUUC